rnacentral:tRNA from 1 species
CACCAGCCGUGCGACGGUCGUGACCGUGCCGUCGCUGUCGACGGCGGAGAUGGUCGACCGGUUCCGGAAUCCGCCGCUGGUGG